GAUGAACGCUAGCUACAGGCUUAACACAUGCAAGUCGAGGGGAAACGGCAUCGAAAGCUUGCUUUUGAUGGGCGUCGACCGGCGCACGGGUGAGUAACGCGUAUCCAACCUGCCCCUCACUUGGGAAUAACCUUGCGAAAGUAAGACUAAUGCCCAAUGACAUCCCACGAAGGCAUCAGAAUGGGAUUAAAGAUUUAUCGGUGAUGGAUGGGGAUGCGUCUGAUUAGCUUGUUGGCGGGGUGACGGCCCACCAAGGCAACGAUCAGUAGGGGUUCAGAGAGGAAGGUCCCCCACAUUGGAACUGAGACACGGUCCAAACUCCUACGGGAGGCAGCAGUGAGGAAUAUUGGUCAAUGGGCGAGAGCCUGAACCAGCCAAGUAGCGUGCAGGAGGACGGGCCUAUGGGUUGUAAACUGCUUUUAUAAGGGAAUAAAGUGGGUCACGUGUGACUUUUUGCAUGUACCUUAUGAAUAAGAACCGGCUAAUUCCGUG
rnacentral:rRNA from 1 species